GUCCCUGUAGCGCCAGAUAUAGCGCGUUGGACUUCCAAUCCAAAGAUGGGUUCGAAUCCUACCUGCGAUG